UGUACCAGAAGAGGUGCGAAACUUAGGUAGAAAACGAGAGGAACCACAUUCCAAAUACCGUUUUUGAGGGAAGUUAUCGCCGAGAGUAUUUAAAAGUGGAUUUAGAUACUCGGUCACUAAGGUUGAAUCCUUAUGGCUGUCACCUGACGUAUUUGUUAAAUGAUACCUAACUAAUUAGGUAUCAUUAAGCAUUAAAUAAUAGGUGGAGAGCUUCUGGCUGA
rnacentral:ncRNA from 2 species